GAAAAUUAGAUGACCGACAAAAAACCCGCCCAAUCCACACGCCCACUUACCUUCUCAGUACCCACCUUCUCGACGCUCUCCUCUACUCUCACUUUCUUUCCCUAUUCUUUGUGUACACACUCAUACUCACGGUCUUCAGCCUGGUUCAAUUUAUUCGAUUAGAAUUAGGGUUUUGAUUUGGGGCUUCAUUCGGGUUCGAUUCUUUGAGUUUAAGAUAAAGAGCAGUACUAGCAUUCAGUACAGCCUCAACUUUGGUGUUUUUGAGCGAAAGAGGCAGCUUGCAAAUCAUAUUGGCCAGAGCAUAAUCUGCAAAAUUAAUGGAAACUUCACCAAAAUCUGAAAUGACUAAAGAACAAACUUGAAUGGUUCUGUUGUUAAUCACUGUUUCGAGCUUGUUAUGCUCAGACCACCUUCAAAUUCCAGAGAGUGUGAACCAUCCUCUCACAAACCGGGGUCAUCAUCUUUGCCAAUGGCCGUGUUGUACAAUUUCAGUACUUGGAUGGUCUUCAGCCUGGUUCAAUUUCUUCGAUUAGAAUUAGGGUUUUGAUUUGGGGCUUCAUUCGGGUUCAAUUCUUUGAGUUUAAGGUAACUGAUUCUUUAUAUUUUCUUAUAUUCGCACCUCCCUUCAUUUAUACAACGUGUUUGAUGAUAUGCCUGAGUGACAUUAUGAGUUCUACAAUUUGCUUGAGUUUGGUUUGUGAUGAUCUACUGAGUUUGUGUAUGGCCUGUUUUUCUUUUCGUUUUUUGCCUGUGUCACUUUGUAUUUAGCCGAUUGGUUGUAGUUUUGAACUUUGUUU